rnacentral:rRNA from 1 species
UACGUAGGUGGCAAGCGUUGUCCGGAUUUACUGGGUGUAAAGGGCGUGUAGCCGGGUUGACAAGUCAGAUGUGAAAUCCUGCGGCUUAACCGCAGAACUGCAUUUGAAACUGUUGAUCUUGAGUACUGGAGAGGCAGGCGGAAUUCCUGGUGUAGCGGUGAAAUGCGUAGAUAUCAGGAGGAACACCGGUGGCGAAGGCGGCCUGCUGGACAGUAACUGACGUUGAGGCUCGAAAGCGUGGGGAGCAAACAGG